rnacentral:rRNA from 1 species
UACGGAGGGUGCGAGCGUUGUCCGGAAUCACUGGGCGUAAAGGGCGCGUAGGUGGCGCGGGAAGUCAACGGUGAAAGUUCGGGGCUCAACCCUGAAUCGGCCGUCGAUACUCCCGGGCUCGAGCACUGUAGAGGCAGAUGGAAUUCCGGGUGUAGCGGUGGAAUGCGUAGAGAUCCGGAAGAACACCGGUGGCGAAGGCGGUCUGCUGGGCAGUUGCUGACACUGAGGAGCGAAAGCAUGGGUAGCGAACAGG